rnacentral:lncRNA from 1 species
GUCAAUAUAUUGGAAAAAUUUGGGGAGAGUUGUAACAAUUUGAAAAAACUCACAGAUGAACUGUGUAAUCAUAGAAAUACCCGCCCCCCCGAAAUUAAGAAAAAGUUAGGUAUGUCAUGAAUAUAUGUAGAUAUAUAAAGAACACACAAAAUAUAUGUUAACUGACUCUUUGACAGGUAAAGCUUCCACUCCACAGCAGGCUAUUAGUAAAGCUUUGGGGGAGUCAAAAGUUAUCCUUGAAUUUUUGGCUGUGGAGGCGGGGGUUGGGGCCACGAACCGCUGCACUGUUCAAGGGUCAGCUGUAGAAUCGUAAGUUGGACGCACUCUAAGGACAGCACAAAAAGUACAAAGUUAAACUUCCCUUCGCAGUUGCAGCAUUUGUAAUGAUAUAAAUAAUGUAAAUGUUGUAAUUUUAAAACUGUACUCCGACAUUUAUAGGUUAAAUAAGAAAGAUUUUUUUUUUUCUUUUUUGUCUUUUUAGGACCACACCCAUGACAUAUGGAAGAUCCCAGGCUAGGGGUAGAAUCAGAGCUGCAGCUGCCAGCUUACACCACAGCCACGGCAACACCAGAUCCGAGCCAUGUCUGUGACCUACACCACAGCUCACACUAAGCGAAGCCGGGGGUGGAACCCAUGUCCUAAUGGAUCCUAGUCAGGUUCAUUACUGCUGAGCCACAACGGGAACUCCUUGCUUUUUUUAAAUUGGCAACUAUUUUACUAGCUACUUUCUAGCUGCAAAGUCACCCAUCAGAAAAUCGCAAGUUGAAUGGCUUUGCCCAUCAUAACUUUUGCCUUUUCCAUUGGCUUUAAACCAGAGAUGGAGGAAUAUGGGCUGCAAGUGUGACCUGCAGUCACUCUCAUCAACACCUUGCUUACUCAUGGCAGAGAACCUGGAAAACAGGUACCGCUUUCGCUGAUUCAGAACCUCUCGAGCAUUUGACAAACCGUCCUUCCUAAACCUGGCCGAGCCCAUAUUACACCAAAUUGUCAAUUCGUCCAUGCACUACAUCCUUUGGGGAGUAAUUUGACUCUUUUUUUUUUUAAUGACUUAUGUCAGCUGCAUCCUGUCUGUCGGAUCUGUUAAGUAAAAUAACGAAACAAGGCUCUUAGCCGCAAGGAGAGAGGUGAAAUGCAAAGCGAUCGCGAAGAUUCCAAGGGUCAAGCAGAAGACUGGCAUUGCUGGGCCAAGGGAUGGUUAGACACAAGCACGUACAAGAAAAAUAAAGGCUCACAUGCACAGGGGCGAGCACGCCCACGAUGAGUCACCUGUCCAGGGCUGCUGUGAUGCAAGUUAUUACUUAGAUGUAUUAAAGGGAAGAGUCAAUUCCACAGGUACAUAUGAAGCACCUACUAGGUGUGAGGAACUGCACAGCUACGGAGGGGGACACAAAGAUGACUCGGAUGUGGUUCUCGCCCUCCAGGGGCUCACAAUGAGGCAAGCACCUUGAAGGCGUUUUUCUUGUGCAUGGUGGACUAAUGAGGCCAUGAUUACAGGACUGUAUUCAAUUUUGACCACUACCACUUCUUUUUCAAUGCAAGAAACCAGAGAGAUUUGAGAGGCAGAGGACACAAGAUAGGCUCUGGGAGGAGAAAGCUAGAGACUUAGUUAUUAUCUUCGAGAAUAUGAAAGUUUACUUUUUUUUAUUGUUAUUUUUUUGCUUUUAAGGGCUGCGCCUGUGGCAUAUGGUAGUUAGUUCCCAGAACAGGGGUCGAAUCAGAGCUAUAGCUGCCGGCCACAGCCACAGCCACAGCCACAGCCACAUGGAAUCUGAGCCAUGCCUGCGACCUACACCACGGUUCACAGCAAUG